GCUACCCCAGGUCAGGUGGGAUUACCCGCUGAGUUUAAGCAUA
rnacentral:rRNA from 1 species